CCAGGAUCUGGGAAGGCGAUGGAGCCCACAAAGAUUAGGACCAAGACCUAGUACUCAGUUGAAGAUCUGUGGGAAGUAAGCAUUAACACUCAAUUUCUGCCUCCUGUACUUUCAGGAUAAAGUCUGAAACUAACUUUCUUCGGUAUGUGUUCAUCCAAUGUCUAGCAUGAAGUGCCCAGUACACAUACCUGCUUUCAGAGAGCAAAUUAAUAGCGGUAGCAGUGAUAAAGCUGAUGUUUAAAAGCUGAAGAUACCACAAUAUGAGAAGUCAUCUGAGAAAGUAAGUUGCUUGGGUUAGACCCCAUCGCUGGUGUGUUUGUACAGAACAUGGCAGAGCUCCUGGGUCCUCCCAGCCACCACCGAACAAGUAAGCUCUUUCCAGGGGAUUGCAGUGCCGGGCAUGUGGUUGCCUUAUUGAGAGAAGUACAAACUCUGGUUAAGGCAACUAGCUCUAUUCAAGACAACGUUCGUAGUGGCUCACUAGCUUCUAUAAAACUGAAGUCUCUGACUGUUGUGCCAAGCCUUUCAUCUGACCCUUGACUUGCUUUCAGUCUCCUGUCUCUGGGUGCUAACACAUGGGGAACUGCCCUUCCAGAGGCUGAGUUACCAGUCCUGGACCUCUUUACCAUACCUAGACAGACUCAUCUGAUAUAUUACAACAUAACUGAAUUAAAAUCAAAGACUUGCAUUAAUUUACUAGAAAGAAAAUCUGGAUGCUUAGGGUGGAAGCAUCACCUCUAGGAAAAGAAGGCAAUUUGACUACAAGCCAACCACUUUAUUCCAUAAAUAUGACAGCCUAAGGGAGCCUUCUUUGAGUUCUCCCUGCUAAGCACCCUGGCU